rnacentral:rRNA from 1 species
GAUGAACGCUGGCGGCGUGCCUAAUACAUGCAAGUCGAGCGAACGGACGCGAAGCUUGUUUCUCUGAUGUUAGCGGCGGACGGGUGAGUAACACGUGGAUAACCUCCCUAUAAGACUGGGAUAACUUCGGGAAACCGUAGCUAACACCGGAUAAUAUUUUGAACCGCAUGGUUCAAAAGUGAAAGACGGUCUUGCUGUAACUUAUAGCUGGCUCCGCGCUGCAUUAGCUAGUUGGUAAGGUAACGGCUUACCAAGGCAACGAUGCAUAGCCGACCUGAGAGAGUGAUAGCCCACCCUGGAACUGAGACACGGUCCAUACUCCUACGGGAGGCAGCAGUAGGGAAUCUUCCGCAGUAGUCGAAAGCCUUGCGGAGCGACGCCACGUGAGUGAUAAAGGUCUUCGGAGCGUAAUACUCUGUUAUGAGUGAAGAACAUAUGUGUAAGUAACAGUACACAUCUUGACGGUACCUAAUCAGAAAGCCACGGCUAACUACGUG